AUGAGUGUCGCCUUGAAGCCUUGGAUUUUCACUCCUGAAGGAAUAAGUUUUGGCUUAGGGCUUGACCAACCUGCAGUUAGAGAUGACAACAGUUCUCUGGGCACAAAUCUGUCACCUCCUUCCUCUGUGGAUUCCUUGACAACCCAGUUAACGAACUGCAGCCAAAAAAAUUCCUCAAGCGGUCUUCCGAAAAGAGAUUCAGAGAAAUGGAGUACAGUGCUGCAACCACAAUUGGACUGGCUUCCUUUUCUCUUUAAAGUGAAGAGAGCUGGUAAAGGGGUUGGGAGUGGUUUACCUCCAAGCCUCUGGGAGAACUGGGGAAAGAUUCUGCCAGAUCAAUUGGGCCUGCAGCAGGCCUACUUCAGCCUGGCCCAGAUGAUACCUGUGUCCGGCAUCCUAAGCUCCAGUCCGUGCUGGAUAGGGCUUCCUGGUUUUCUACAAACUGACUGUGUGACCCGAUUCAGCCUCUCUAAACCUUAGUUUCACUGUCAGAACAAUGGGGAUGAUAGCACAAACCUUGGGGUGUAUGGGCUAGAUUAGAGGGAUCAAGGUACCCUCCCGUGAGUCACCUGAUACACAGGCUUCCCUGAAUAUUCAUGCAUUUUCUCUUCCUGCCUUUUCUGUUUUCUCCUUCUGGCCAGUUGCCUGAAGACCCAGCCAGCCUGACAGCGAUGGGUGCCACACUCCCAGGUGUAUCCUUCCCGCAAGCCUGCCCGGGUCGUCUCCUGUCGCUAAUUCCGCACUCAGCCUCCGUCCCUAGAGCGCGAGUCCUCGGGGAUCGCGGGGGCUGGGCCCUCGCAGGACAGUAGGCGCUGGACACCGGGGCGCGGGACUGCGGUAGCGGCACGGGAUGUGGGGGACAGGCGCGGCCGGAGCCUCCACCCCGGUCUAAACCUGUAUCUACCUCCCUGGCCAACCUGGUUCAGUUCUCAUUUCCGCGCCAGCGAGGGAGAGGUCUGGGCUCCGGGUGGGGAGGGGGUGUGGAGCCUCAGUUUCCCCGGCGCGUCCGCGGCCAGGACUUUCCCCCUGCGCAGGCAGGAAGGGGUUAAACGCGCCCCUCUCCCAGCCUCGGGUCGAGCGCUGGCGCUGGGCGAGGCCG
rnacentral:lncRNA from 1 species